rnacentral:rRNA from 1 species
CAGCAGCCGCGGUAAUACGGAGGGAGCUAGCGUUGUUCGGAAUUACUGGGCGUAAAGCGCGCGUAGGCGGUUACUCAAGUCAGAGGUGAAAGCCCGGGGCUCAACCCCGGAACUGCCUUUGAAACUAGGUGACUAGAAUCUUGGAGAGGUCAGUGGAAUUCCGAGUGUAGAGGUGAAAUUCGUAGAUAUUCGGAAGAACACCAGUGGCGAAGGCGACUGACUGGACAAGUAUUGACGCUGAGGUGCGAAAGCGUGGGGAGCAAACAGGAUUAGAUACCCGAGUAGUCCCUGUCUCUUAUAC